rnacentral:misc_RNA from 1 species
GAUGAAGAACGCAGCGAAAUGCGAAAAGUAGUGUGAAUUGCAGAAUUCAGUGAAUCAUCGAAUCUUUGAACGCACAUUGCGGCCAUAGGUAUUCCUUUGGCCAUGCCUGUUCGAGCGUCAUUUACACCCUCAAGCCUAGCUUGGUGUUGGGCGUCUGUCCCGCCGUUUUCGCGCGCGGACUCGCCUCAAAGUCAUUGGCGGCGGUCGUGCCGGCCCCCUCGCGCAGCACAUUUGCGCUUCUCGGAGGCCCGGCGGAUCCGCGCUCCAGCAAGACCUUUCACGACUUGACCUCGGAUCAGGUAGGGAUACCCGCUGAACUUAAGCAUAUCAAUAAGCGGAGGA